GGUGUUCCUGUAUAAAACUGUGCCAACGAGUUUGCUGUCAUGUGCCUGUGGUCGCCUCAACAAAGUAGAACUUCCUUACUGGCUCUGGAGGCCAGUCUACAGCCUGUAUAUCUGGACCUUUGGGGUGAACAUGACUGAGGCUGCAGUGGAGGACCUGCACCACUACCGCAACCUCAGCGAGUUUUUCCGGCGUAAGCUGAAGCCUCAGGCACAGCCUGUCUGAGAUUUGUACUGUGUGGUAAUGCCUGGCCCUUGUCUCCAUUCUUCAUUAGGAAAUGAAACCCUUGUCUGCCUUUAAGCCAGGCUUAGCAGCACCGCAUGGCCGUGGCACUCCGGGAGGCUCCCUCCUGACCUGGACUGGAGCUCCCUGAGGACUUGGCAGAUGGUAGAGUUUGGGGAGCCACUGAAGGUGAGCACUACCCCCUCCUUACCUUCAAAACUCUGUCUCCUCCAGACCAGCCCAUCAGAUGGCAAGAUCCUCACCUUUGGGCAGGUGAAGAACUCUGAGGUGGAGCAGGUAAAGGGCGAAACCUACUCCUUGGAGUCCUUCCUGGGCCCUCGAACCAGUACAGAAGACCUGCCCUUCCCUCCAGCUUCUUCCAGUGACUCCUUCAGAAACCAGCUGGUCCCCCAAGAAGGGAAUGCGCUCUACCACUGUGUCGUCUACCUGGCCCCAGGAGACUACCACUGCUUCCACUCCCCCACUGACUGGACCGUCUCACAUCGGCGCCACUUCCCAGGUCUGCCCAGGGGUGGGCAUUAGAGGCCCUUGGCCUUUUGACUUGAGAGGACUGGGCUUGAGGCUGGUGUCGUCAAGGCCAGGAGAGGACUUCUUGAGGUGGCUGGCUAUAGGCGAGGGUAUCUGGGGUCCUGCUUAGAAUUUGGACCGCUUGACCUGUGAGUCCCUGUGGCUCUUCGGCCAUUCUGAUGUGAACAUGUCAGGGGCUGAGCAGAAAGUAGCAUAUUCUCUUGUCUCUUCAGGUUCCCUGAUGUCAGUGAACCCUGGCAUGGCCCGAUGGAUCAAAGAGCUCUUUUGUCACAAUGAGCAUGUAGUCCUAACUGGAGACUGGAAAAAUGGGUUCUUCUCGUUGACAGCAGUGGGAGCCACCAAUGUGGGCUCUAUCCAUAUCCACUUUAACUGAGUGAGCAAAGCCCACAGGCUAAACCUCUUGGGUCCAACCACUUCAUUUACUGUACAGCCUUACCUUUGGGCUUAUAAAUUUUGUAGUGCAGGAGGGAUGAUCUAGCUCUGCUCUACAGACAUCCAUACCAGCCCAGCCUCCCUCUCCCUGUUGCCCAAUCUGUGGCCAUUCACCUGCCUGAACCAAUCCCACAUCUUAACACACGGCUUCUGCCAGGAUCCCUGAUCAGAAGCAAGGAUGGAGCCUGCAGGAGGGUAGAGUUGGCUUGGGUGAGAAAAUCUGGUACCCACUCUGCCUUUUUAGGUUUUAAUGGCUGCUGCUGGCACUAGCCUUUCAGCAUUUAUGUCUAACCCCUGCCCCUCCUUGUCAAAGUCACAGCUGAUACUGGGAGUGUUGAUUAGUUAGGCCUUUGUCUCUGCCACCUGGGCUGGGCAGAGUUGAGGACAGGCUCAACCUUCUUGUUCCUAGGACUUGCACACAAACAGCCCCAGGUACAGCAAGGUACUACAAUGACCUGAGCUUUGUAACAAGGAGGGCAUUCCCAUGCACAAGGGUGAGCCCCUGGGCGAGUUCAACCUGAGCUCCACAUCAUGCUCAUCUUCGAGGCACCCAAGGACUUCAACUUGAGGCUGAAGGCAGAACAGAAGAUCUGCUUUGCAGGAGCACUGGGCUCCCUCUAGUCCUCUCGGUUGUGGCUGCCAAAGGAUCUUUCCACACAGGAGCAUGAGGGUCUUUAGCGGAGCCCCAGGAUGUCUAGGUGAGGGGCACUGUGGGGCUGACCUUAUAAGACCUGAAUGAUGUGUUCCUGCCUGUCCAUGGGUGCAGAGGAGAGGUUCUGGGUCUCUCAGGACCUAGGCCCCUUUUCUGAGUAUGGGUGGGUGUGAUUUGACCCCAAAGUCACUUUAAGGGGUGUUUUAAAUUUUUGUACAAGCCAGAGCCUCCCACCCCUAACUCCUGGCUGUGUACUACCACACCCUCUAGCUGCGCCCCGACCCGUCACAGGGCUCUCUCACUGUGCACAGGGUGACGUGCCUGCUGGGCAGAGACUGUGGAUCCACUGUCUUCCUAGAGCAGGCCACAUGGCCUUCAUAACUGCUUUCUGCUCCCAAAUUUCACCUAUCUGCAUGCUGGAAAAGUAAAAUCAUUUAUAUAUUGCUGGAUGUGUUGUCCUGGGCUCUGUCAGUGUCUUCUGAAGACAAUGACUAAUGAUGUAUGUAGACCUUUGUAGGCUCUAAGAAGCUGGCUGAAUCCUUUUGCUGGUAGGCAAGACCAAUUAAUUACUGGCUUGUCUGGUAGAGUCUGGAGUGAAAGGGCAGGUUGAGGCCUUGCCCUGCAGAAGUAGGGGACAUGCUGCUAUUGGUCUAGGUCUGUGUUGGAAGCAGAGGGUAUGGAGGUCAGUACCUAGAAAACAGGUAUGCAGGCCAUGGGGAACCCAGUGGUAGGGACAAGACCAGAGUUCAUGUCGAUCUUGGGAAUGCCAUGAAUUUCCCCUGCAGAAGAAAUCACUUAACUUUUCAACCCUAUCAGUAGUACCGUAUUUUGUAUGAAAAGUAGGAGACUUCUGAACAGUAAUUCAUUUCAUUGCAAGACAUUUUGAAAUUAAAAAAC
rnacentral:lncRNA from 1 species